rnacentral:rRNA from 1 species
GACGAACGCUGGCGGCGUGCUUAACACAUGCAAGUCGAACGGAAAGGCCUUGCUUUUGUGGGGUGCUCGAGUGGCGAACGGGUGAGUAACACGUGAGUAACCUGCCCUUGACUUUGGGAUAACUUCAGGAAACUGGGGCUAAUACCGGAUAGGAGCUCCUGCUGCUUGGUGGGGGUCGGAAAGUUUCGGCGGUCGGGGAUGGACUCGCGGCUUAUCAGCUUGUUGGUGGGGUAGUGGCUUACCAAGGCUUUGACGGGUAGCCGGCCUGAGAGGGUGACCGGCCACAUUGGGACUGAGAUACGGCCCAGACUCCUACGGUAGGCAGCAGUGGGGAAUAUUGCACAAUGGGCGGAAGCCUGAUGCAGCAACGCCGCGUGCGGGAUGACGGCCUUCGGGUUGUAAACCGCUUUCGCCUGUGACGAAGCGUGAGUGACGGUAAUGGGUAAAGAAGCACCGGCUAACUACGUG